GCCCCUGACUCUGGGAUAAGCGCUGGAAACGGCGUCUAAUACCGGAUAUGAGCUGCGAUCGCAUGGUCAGCAGUUGGAAAGAUUUUUCGGUCUGGGAUGGGCUCACGGCCUAUCAGCUUGUUGGUGAGGUAAUGGCUCACCAAGGCGUCGACGGGUAGCCGGCCUGAGAGGGUGACCGGCCACACUGGGACUGAGACACGGCCCAGACUCCUACGGGAGGCAGCAGUGGGGAAUAUUGCACAAUGGGCGAAAGCCUGAUGCAGCAACGCCGCGUGAGGGAUGACGGCCUUCGGGUUGUAAACCUCUUUUAGCAGGGAAGAAGCGAAAGUGACGGUACCUGCAGAAAAAGCGCCGGCUAACUACGUGCCAGCAGCCGCGGUAAUACGUAGGGCGCAAGCGUUAUCCGGAAUUAUUGGGCGUAAAGAGCUCGUAGGCGGUUUGUCGCGUCUGCUGUGAAAUCCCGAGGCUCAACCUCGGGUCUGCAGUGGGUACGGGCAGACUAGAGUGCGGUAGGGGAGAUUGGAAUUCCUGGUGUAGCGGUGGAAUGCGCAGAUAUCAGGAGGAACACCGAUGGCGAAGGCAGAUCUCUGGGCCGUUACUGACGCUGAGGAGCGAAAGGGUGGGGAGCAAACAGGCUUAGAUACCCUGGUAGUCCACCCCGUAAACGUUGGGAACUAGUUGUGGGGUCCAUUCCACGGAUUCCGUGACGCAGCUAACGCAUUAAGUUCCCCGCCUGGGGAGUACGGCCGC
rnacentral:rRNA from 1 species